CCUACGGGUGACAGCAGUGGGGAAUAUUGCACAAUGGGGGAAACCCUGAUGCAGCGACGCCGCGUGGGUGACGAAGGAUUUCGGUAUGUUAAGCCCCAUCAGCAGGGAAGAAGAUGACAGUACCUGACUACGAAGCCCCGGCUAACUACGUGCCAGCAGCCGUGGUAAUACGUAGGGGGCAAGCGUUAUCCGGAGUUACUGGGUGUAAAGGGAGCGUAGGUGGCAUGGAAAGCCAGAAGGGAAAACCCGGGGCUUAACCCCGCGGAUUGCUUUUGGAACUGUCAGGCUGGAGUGCAGGAGGAGCAGGCGGAAUGCGUGGUGUAGCGGUGAAAUGCGUAGAUAUCAGGAGGAACACCGGUGGCGAAGGCGGCCUGCUGGACUGUAACUGACACUGAGGCUCGAAAGCGUGGGGAGCAAACAGGAUUAGAUACCCCAGUAGUC
rnacentral:rRNA from 1 species